AGCUCGGAGAACAUGCGGCCGGGCAAAAAUGAUUACAGCUGCAGGAACGAGUCCACACAUCUAGACCUAGCUUUGUUUGAGCUGGUCUGCAUUGCAAAAAGGGAACUAAAAUGUGUGACGUUUCCUCAGCCCAGGUCUUACUGGUGAAGUAGGUUCCCUCCAUCACUGACGCUGAUUUUCUGCAGACUGCAUCCAAACCCU